UAACACGUAGGUAACCUGCCCAUGUGUCCGGGAUAACUGCUGGAAACGGUAGCUAAAACCGGAUAGGUAUACAGAGCGCAUGCUCAGUAUAUUAAAGCGCCCUUCAAGGCGUGAACAUGGAUGGACCUGCGGCGCAUUGGCUAGUUGGUGAGGUAACGGCCCACCAAGGCGAUGAUGCGUAGCCGGCCUGAGAGGGUAAACGGCCACAUUGGGACUGAGACACGGCCCAA
rnacentral:rRNA from 1 species